GCUGCAUUAUUGUUGAUGACAUUCGUCCAAAGGUGAUGUGGUGUCAUGUCGCUUGUGUAUCCUAGUUUUUAGCUUUUUGAGCUUAAAACAUGUGGAUAAUCGGUUGGUGAUAGACAUCACUCCCUUGGUUGAUGAAAGUCGUCCAAUGAUGUGGUGGUUGGUUUAUUUUGUUCUCGCAUCGUUCGGUGCAUUCUGUGGUCAUUUUGGCUGUUAGUGGCUUGCUUGGCAUUCGUGCUUGGUGUGUUGCUACUAGUUUGGGUGUCUUCGGGGAUGUCAACCGUAAAGGUGCAUGAGUGGUGUUUGGUUUGUUACGGGUGGUUGGCUCUUUGCUUGCGCAACAACUUCCACCUGGCAUACCUCUUCAGUCUUGUGUCAAUGCUUGUAUUGCAUUGAAUGCACGACGGGUUUCUUGUGUUGCAUGCCUAAUUAAUGGUAUUGUUUGAUGAUUUGGUUUCGUUUUUCGUCUUGCCUCGCCUUUGCGAUGUGAGAUGAACCYUGAAGCAGCCUUUGUGAUCCACACUUUUGAUGCAUACGCAUUGAUUUUGUGGCCCAUUAAGUGUUGCUCGGUCUCAUGGAUAUGGAACCUGGUGUGGGCAUGGAAUCUUAAUGGUUCCUUGUUUGCCCAAGUUUAGCUUUUCUAAAACGAUUGUCUAUCA
rnacentral:misc_RNA from 1 species